rnacentral:rRNA from 1 species
UACAGAGGGGGCAAGCGUUGUUCGGAAUUACUGGGCGUAAAGGGCUCGUAGGCGGCCAACUAAGUCAUACGUGAAAUCCUUUGGCUUAACCGGGGAACUGCGUCUGAUACUGGAUGGCUUGAGUUCGGGAGAGGGAUGCGGAAUUCCAGGUGUAGCGGUGAAAUGCGUAGAUAUCUGGAGGAACACCGGUGGCGAAGGCGGCAUCCUGGACCGAUACUGACGCUGAGGAGCGAAAGCCAGGGGAGCAAACGGG